rnacentral:rRNA from 1 species
UACGGGAGGCAGCAGGCACGCAAAUUACCCACUGGCCGAAGGCCGAGGUAGUGACGAAAAAUAACGAUACCGGACUCAUCCGAGGCCCGGUAAUCGGAAUGAGUACACUUUAAAUCCUUUAACGAGGAACAAUUGGAGGGCAAGUCUGGUGCCAGCAGCCGCGGUAAU